rnacentral:lncRNA from 10 species
GUUCAAAAUCCAUUUGCUGGCCGAGCACAGUGGUUCACGCCUGUAAUCCAGCACUGUGGGAGGCCUCGAGGCAGGUGGAUCACCUGAGGGUGAGCUGCUGUUCUCACCUGGGAGAGAUGAUUUGUCAGAACAUGUCUUAAAACCGGCUGCUGCCAUGCAGAGAUAGCACAUGACACGUGCCACCAGCCAGAGCCGCUAGUCCAUGGGCCAGGUAGGGUCCUCCCCACCCCAGCUCCGGGAAUGGGACCCCAGGAUUGGCAACACCUGUGGAUGCCACAUGGGUCUGAGGUCACUGUGCAGUGCGGCGCUUGGGCAGUGACCUGGUCCUUUCACUCUUUCCUCCAUACUUCCUUAUCUCAAGGUAAGAAAGGAAGAUUGACAACUCAGGCUGUAGAGUCAGAGAGUCCUGGGAUCAAAUCCCAGCUUAACCAUAUAAUCUGUGUGACUUUGGGUGAAUGAUUGAAACGAUCUGUGCUCCGUGUCACCAUCCACACGGUAGGGAUCACAGUUGGUCUCUGUCUCUGGGAGGUCUGUGGGCUUUAAAUGAGACAGUAGAGAUGAAGUGCUUAGAGCUGUGCCCCGUGCAUGGCCAGUGUGCAAUGAGAUGGUCUCAGAGUAUUAUGGCUGGAGUCACCACUUGUAUUACCAGGAAGCCCAGCCUCUGUGAUUACAGGAUUCCAACUAUGGUGACUCUGCACCUCUUCCUUUUUCUCUUGCUUUCUCAUUCGUCUUAUUACCAUUUGCUGAAAUUAAAUCAGAACACACAGGGGAAGCACCUAUCCUUGCCCAGCACAUAGUAGGCAUCGUGCAGGAGUCUGUGAGUCACAUGGUUUACUCUUGCCCUCCUCCCCAUGGUUCCUAGCACGGUGUUGAAUGUGUAGCAGGCCCUCCCUAAUGGACCCAGGAGAUCAGCCUGGGCACUCUCUCAUUCUCCUCCUGCCUCCCACCCUUGAUUCCCUCAUAAGACAGCAGCACAAGUGACUUCUAGGGGAACCGUAUUAGUCUGUUGCUAAGACCAGAUAAUUUAUAAAGAAACGAGGUUUCAUUGACUCACAGUUCUGCAGGCUGUACAGGAAGCAUGGCUGGGGAGGCCUCAGGAAACUUACAGUAGUGGCAGAAGGCAAAGGAGGAGCAGGCGUCCUCACAUGGCUGGAGCAGGAGGAAGGGAGAGAGCGGGGAGGCGCCAUCACUUUUAAACAAACAGGUCUCGUGAGAACUCACUCACUGUACAGUCCCAAGGGGGAAUGUGCCAAACCAUUCAUGAGAACUCCGCCCCUCUGAUCCAGUCACCUCCCACCAGGUCCCACCUCCAACACUGGGGACUAUAGUUCGACAUAAGAUUUGGGUGGGGUGGCAGAUCCCAACCAUAUCAGAAAGGGUCUUUAUGAUCAGUGGAGAGUGGCAGGGAGGUGUGGACCAUGGGGAGACACAGUCCUCCUGGACCUUGGAGUGAGAGGAUUCAGUUUUAGCAAAAACAGGAGAUAAGACUGUCUGGAAUUGUCCUUCUGUGUGAAUGACCCGCUCAAGGUCUCAAGGCAACUGCAUGGCCCACCCGCUCCACUCAUGGCCCUCUCACCCCCAUUCGGCACCCCAGCCUUCUCCUUGUGGGGUCACCCCGCCCCACAGUCCGACCCGGGCUGGAGUGAAAUCUCGGCUGACUGAUGCGCCUUCACGGAAGAUGGCAUGGAGGGGAUCCACUGUCCCCCUCAGGCCUCUUCUCCAAGACAAAGGACAGUCAUGUACACUGGCUCACAGACCACAGAGAUGCUGGUAGUUGGUGUGCAAGAGCAUUUAUCAUGUUGGAGAAUGACAAAGAGGGAGCAGGUGUCUGACCUGGGAUGAGAGAACACGGAGCGGUGAAGGCACACCAGGGGUGGAGAGGGCAGAGACAGGCUGUCAUUUUUCAGCACAAUUUUCCUCCCUUUAAUGUUCCCAUAGAUUAUGGGACCGGAUCAUCUGAUGGCCGAAAGAGAUGUUUUAUGGUGCCAGGGUGGAAGGUUUGAGGAGAGGGAAAAAUGAUUGUGAACUUUCUGUCCUACAAAGGCUCUCAUGGUCUAUAGAAUACAAAGUUGAUUUUGCUUUGCUUUUCUUGGAAAUGUGCUAGAGAGGAGAAAGGUAAAUAGGAUUUACCAGCCUCCUCCUGCAUGCAAAGCAAAUGGAAAGAACCCUCCCCCCUUGAACCUCCGUUUUGCUUGGAAGAAGCGGGAUGUGUCUUCUUGUUCCCCUUCAAGGGAGAUUUAAGAGGUCCUCUCCUGGAACAGCACAGAGUUUAAUGCUAAAUACUUUUCAAAAUCUUUUGGUCAUCUACAGUUUUCUCUCCUCGGCUCUGCGGUCAGGAGGGUUUGAGGAAAGAGGUGGAAAGUUCUCUCUCCGAGGGACCCUGUCCCCAGGCCUCAUGUGUUCCAGGGCCCCGUUUGCAGUUCUUGGCUGUAUGAGUGAAAAUCUUUAUUGAAGAACCAGAUUUCUUUUUUGCAAGGAGAAAAAAGAAAAGAAACCAAUAUCCAAUUCAAGUAGGGGCCAACAAGCAAAUGAAAACAUGCUCAAAUUGAUUAGUUUUCAGGGACAUUCAAUUUAAAACCACAUGAGAUAGCAUUUCAUGCCCAUUAGGACGGCUGGAGUCAAGACGGAUGACAGCAAGUGUUGGUGAGUGUGUGGGGGGUUCAGAACCCUCGUGCCUUGCCUGUAGGAAUGUGAAAUGGGGCAGCCUCUUCGAAAAAUGGUUUUGUAGUUCUUCAAAAAGUUAAACAUGAAAGGCCAGGCAUAGUGGGGUGGCUCACACUUGUAAUUCCGGUACUUUGGGAGGCUGAGGUGGGAGGGUCACUUGAGCCCAGGAGUUUGAGAGCAGCCUGGGCAAUGUGGUAAAACUCCAUCUAUACAAAAAAUACAAAAACUAGCUGGGCAUGGUGGUGUGCACCUGUAGUC